rnacentral:rRNA from 1 species
GACGAACGCUGGCGGCGUGCCUAACACAUGCAAGUCGAGCGGGAACCUCUCGAGGGGUAACCCUUGGGAGGGGAGAGCGGCGAACGGGUGAGUAACACGUGGGCAACCUGCCCCGGACACCGGGACAACGCAGGGAAACCUGAGCUAAUACCGGAUACUCCGGCGUUAUCGCAUGGUCGCGCCGGGAAAGCUCCGACGGUCCGGGAUGGGCCCGCGGCCUAGCAGCUUGUUGGUGGGGUACCGGCCCGCAAAGGCGACGACGGGUAGCUGGUCUGAGAGGACGGCCAGCCACACUGGGACUGAGACACGGCGCAGACUCCUACGGGAGGCAGCAGUGGGGGAUCUUGCGCUAAUGCGCGAAAGCGUGACGCAGCGACGCCGCGUGGGGGAUGAAGGCCCUCGGGUUGUAAACCCCUUUCGGCAGGGACGAAGCGAAAGUGACGGUACCUGCAGAAGAAGUCCCGGCUAACUACGUGCCAGCCGCCGCAGUAAGAC